AGUUCACAAGGCAGGACGCAAAGGAAAUAGGAACAUCCAAGAAGGAUGACAAAUCUCAAGGAAUGCACAGGGUGUGCUUUGAGUACCAGGAUGAUACCAGAUGGAGCUGGAACUAUUUAUACCGGAGUGUAUGAAUAGUAAUGGAUGAUGAAGUUGCUGCAAUUUGGAUGCAUAUGGAAAAUACACUCAGGAAGAGUGAAAGCAAACGGAUUGCACUAGGGACGAAUUUUUUUCCAGGACGGUGUGCCGUUGCAGGGAAUGCGUUUAUAGCAGAUGGAAAAACCGGGAUGUUGAGUGUGCGCAUGGAGCGCGUAGUAAGGUUGUCCUUCGAUUGAAGGUGUGAAUAGGCGGCAGGUUAAACCUGCCGCCUUUUUUCUUU
rnacentral:sRNA from 18 species